CAAAUAGUAAAUAUUGCCUUUCAUGUACAAUCAACAUAAGUUUCUAUAUAUGAUUUUUUAGCUAAUUUAAACUCUCUUUUUUUCAAAUUUUGUCAGUGUAACUUUUGCUAGGUGAAAAAAGAAAAAUUAUUGUCAUAGUGACAUAAAAUAAUAUCAUCAUUGUUUCAUAAUUUUCUGCCAUCAAACUGAGCUGAAAAAGAAGAAACAGUUACUAACAAAGUAAAAAAGGAAUCCAGUGAGGAGUUCUGAUUAUUCAAGAAUAUUUUUUUUUAAAAAAAAAAAACUUUAUAUAUGUACUUGCACUUGAUAUCCAUUUAAUAACAUGAUCCCACAAAUGUUUUUUGAGUGACUGACGUAUACGCAAAUCUUAUCCUAUCUUCUCGUACUAAGAAAAGAGUUUUCUCAAUGCUCUAACGCCCACACUCACAUUAGAUAGGAACCGAACUGUCUCGUGAUGCUUUGAAUUCCUAUUUAAAAGCUGGUUAAGAACAGAGAUGAAGUGUCUACUAAAGCCAUAGUAAGAUUUACAGAUGCAAUCACAAUAAGAAUCAAUCAAGCACUCAAUGGUUGAUGGACAAAACUGGAACACUGACAACUAAGCAAAGUCAUUGCUCAAACUGCUCUUCACACCUAUGCAGCAAAGUUUGCUGUGUAACUGUCUUUUCCAUCUCAAGUCACAACACAUAACAAGUGCAUUUGUUUUGUAAAAGGCCAGCUCAUAUCAAACACAUACCAUAGAAAUUUCUGAAGAAUUAAAAGACAAAAUCACAAAACAAGGUUCUCACUUCCAUUCUUGAUUAGAUGAACUACAAUAAGGAAUUGGUUUGACUAUUGUGAUCAUAUAUGUAUUAAGCUUUGUGAGGCUCAGAUCGUGUUUACCAUUUUAAGUCGCGGAUUUUAUGUAGCACAUAUGAUUACUAUUGGAGCAAGGGAGCUUCUCUACUUUUAUGCAUGAUUUGCAACUGACUCACACUGAUCUGAAGCCAGAAAAUAUCCUCCUUGUUUCGUCGAACUACAUUUCAGUUACAAGGUAAAGCAUCAUAUCGUACAGUCUUAUUGGAAUUGCUUUUCAAUAGCAUAGUAAUAUUAGAAGCAACUACGUAUUUGUGUAAUUACGUUUGCUAAAGAUCAACCUGUGUAUUAGGAUUUUAGCCUUUCUAUCAAUGUUGACAUCACAGACUGAAAUUUUCUUGGCAUUUUUUUUCUUAGUCUCUCUCUCGAUACAACUAGUAAAUGUACGGGAUAGACUCACUAUACAGAGAGAGAUAUCUUGGAAGCGCUCAGUCUAUCUGCAUUUUGCACCUGUGGUUUCUUUCCUAGACCAUAUAAAAGCUAGUGCUUACUUUAUCAAAAUAGAUGGCUGUUCCCUAGAAAUUUAAGCAAUGGAUUCCUCCAACUACAAAGACAGAAAAUUCACUACUGAAAGUAUGGAUCGAAUGUGGUUGUAUGUUACAAGUUUUAUCAGACAACUCAACCACAAUAAAAUAUCCUGAUACAAUGAAGAUUAUCUUGCUUCAAAAGCGGUUAAAGUUGCAAAAGAAGAACAGGGGUGGAAGUAUAAAAACCGUCUACUAAAGCCAUAAUAGAUUUACAGAUGCUAUCACGAUUAGAACCAAUCAAGCAUUCAAUCAAUGGUUGAUGGACAAAACCGGAACGUUGACAAUGAAGCAGUGUCAUUCCUCAAACUGCUCUUUAUACUCUACGCAACAAAGUUUGUUCUGUAACUCUGUCUCUUCCAUCUCAAAGUCACAACACAUAUCAAAGUGCA